CUACCACAGCCUGUACUGUUGUUACCUGCUGUCCAAACCUGCUUCCUAUUCUCAGAAGAGAUCUGAGUAAACUACUCAGUGCCACAAUCAUAUACAGAAGAAUACCUCACUACGAAGAAUAUGUAUUUAUGGAAAGUCACCAUAGUCCUGCAGGAUCUGCACCCCGUUGGUUCGGGGUUUUACUGUUGAAGACCUAGCCCUCCCUGGACCGUGGUGUUAUUCUCUCUGUGCAGAGACCAGCAUCAUCUACUUCUUCGGAGAAACUGAUGGACACACAGAUUCUCAGGUUCUACUCCAGACCUACAGAUUCAGAAUCUAUAUUUUUAACAGGACCCUCAGGCAACUGAAGUUCAAGACUAUUUUUUUUUAAUAAGCUCUCGUUACCUUUAUCAACUUGAGUUUGUAAAUGUUUUUUCUCUUGAAUAUUAACAAAUGUCUAUCUUCAGAGCAUAGAUGAUCUUUUACAAUGAGACACUUUGUAUAUUUUUUACACUUCAGCCCAAUCAACUCUAAAAAUGGGGGUGCCAACACUGUAACUGCCAUCAUAUUUAGACAAAUGGCCUUCAGUAAAUUGUGAACUGGAAAACAAACAUAUGAAUCACUAUGUGGAUGUAGGCAGAUAAUUAGAUAGAAGCUGCCCUGCAGAGCUGUCACUCCAACACCAAACAUGUUUGUUUCUAUUUCUAGCCCACAAUUGGUAAAAUUAUUAAUAGUUGGCUUGGCUCAAAUCCCACCUAUUCCUGUAAAUUCCUCUUUGAUUACAUCUGCAAGUGUCCUAUGCCUUUUUUGAAUGCCUAUAGUGUAUCACUCAUUGGGUAAUUAAGCAUAUGCUAUAUACCAUGACACCUUUAGUUAAAUUACUGGUUUUAAAUUCUUAUUAAACUUUGUUCACGGUGUAACUACCUUUCUGUUAAAUUAAAAGCUCCCUGUGUGUAUGUGUGGGGGGUUUGGUGGGGGGUGUUAUUAUUAUUAUUAUUAUUUUUUGUUAUUCUUUA